rnacentral:rRNA from 1 species
GGAGUUUGGACCGUGUCUCAGUUCCAAUGUGGGGGACCUUCCUCUCAGAACCCCUACUGAUCGUCGGCUUGGUGGGCCGUUACCCCACCAACUACCUAAUCAGAAGCGUGCUCACCCGUAAUCCUUUCGUUUCAUCACAAAGUCAUGCGGCUUCGUGACACAUGGAGCUUUAAUCCAACUUUCGCUGGGCUAUUCCCCGAUUACGGACAGAUUGCACACCUGUUACGCACCCGUGCGCCGGUCGCCGGCAAUUAAAGCAAGCUUCAAUCCCGCUGCCCCUCGACUUGCAUGUGUUAGGCCUGUCGCUAGCGUUCAUC